rnacentral:lncRNA from 1 species
CCAAGCCCCUCACCUCACCCCUGCAAAAUAUUUAACUGAAAAACUAUUACAUUUAACAAUAGAGCUUAGCAAAGUGGCUGAAUACAACAUAAAUAUCUAAAAAUCAACAGCUUUUCUGUGUACUUGCAAAAAUAAUUAGAAGAUAUAAUAGAAAAAAGAAGCCAUUUACAAUGUGCAAGAUGUAACAUAUAAAGGGAAAACUUUGCUAAAAGAUAAAAAGACAUCCUAAAUAAAUGGAGAGACAGUAAAAAGUUAUCAAUUCUGUGCAGAUUACUUUACAGCAGCGUAUCUCUAAAUGGGGUCCAAGGAUUACUGCCUCAAACAUCACCUCAGAUGCUGAUUAGAAUGCAGAUUCCUGGUUUACAGAUGCCCAUCUUAUAGAAUCGGAGCAGAGGGAGGUAACCAUCGAUGUGAAAAAACAGAAGAAAAAGAAGUAACAGAGAGGGGAAAAGAAAAGGAAAAGGAUGUUGAUUAUAAUGAUGGAUGUACUAUGUCUGUACUCUAGCAACA